CGAGAUGAGUCUUCCCUGUCGCUUUAAGCGACCUAAAGGAACGUUUAAGACUAAGACGUUGAUAGGCUGGGUGUGUAAGCGUAGCGAUACGUUGAGCUAACCAGUACUAAUGAACCGUGAGGCUUAACCUGACAACACCGAAGGUGUUU
rnacentral:rRNA from 1 species